GCACUACUUCUGACUCUCUGUGCUCUCUGUUGUUGCCUUUAGUUUAAUUUAGUCUGCAGAUCUUUUUUACUUCCUGUUUUGUUAACAGGGUAUUAUUUUACUUCCUGUUUUGUUAACAGGGUUAUAUUCAUCCUCAUCUCUGUUGCCCAUCUGUUAUAAAUAUUAAAAUGGCUCACAGGCUCAGAUUAUAGUUGUUGCUCUUUUAAAAUAAAAUCCUAGUGUCCUUUAAAUAUGAUUUCUUAUUUGAAAUAACCCAUAAAUGAUUACUGUCUUUUGUUUGAACAAAUUAAGUGAGCUUCCUCUCUGAUUGGCUCACAGGCUCAGAGUUUCCUCUCUGAUUGGCUCACAGGCUCAGAGUUUCCUCUCUGAUUGGCUCACAGGCUCAGAGUUUCCUCUCUGAUUGGCUCACAGGCUCAGAGUUUCCUCUCUGAUUGGCUCACAGGCUCAGAGUUUCCUCUCUGAUUGGCUCACAGGCUCAGAGUUUCCUCUCUGAUUGGCUCACAGGCUGAUUAUGCAGUAUGGGGUUUUGAUUGUAUGAACCAACAGGCUUAAUGGUGCUGAUGAGAUGAAUACAGGUGAAUGAUGGAGAAACCCCCAUCUGUUGGAGCGCGAUCACACAGAGAUGAAUACAGGUGAAUGAUGGAGAAACCCCCAUCUGUUGGAGCGCGAUCACACAGAGAUGAAUACAGGUGAAUGAUGGAGAAACCCCCAUCUGUUGGAGCGCGAUCACACAGAGAUGAAUACAGGUGAAUGAUGGAGAAACCCCCAUCUGUUGGAGCGCGAUCACACAGAGAUGAAUACAGGUGAAUGAUGGAGAAACCCCCAUCUGUUGGAGCGCGAUCACACAGAGAUGAAUACAGGUGAAUGAUGGAGAAACCCCCAUCUGUUGGAGCGCGAUCACACAGAGAUGAAUACAGGUGAAUGAUGGAGAAACCCCCAUCUGUUGGAGCGCGAUCACACAGAGAUGAAUACAGGUGAAUGAUGGAGAAACCCCCAUCUGUUGGAGCGCGAUCACACAGAGAUGAAUACAGGUGAAUGAUGGAGAAACCCCCAUCUGUUGGAGCGCGAUCACACAGAGAUGAAUACAGGUGAAUGAUGGAGAAACCCCCAUCUGAGAGAGGCAGAAUGUUGUCUAGAGGAAGAGGAGAGAGGCAGAAUGUUGUCUAGAGGGAGAGGAGAGAGGCAGAAUGUUGUCUAGAGGGAGAGGAGAGAGGCAGAAUGUUGUCUAGAGGGAGAGGAGAGAGGCAGAAUGUUGUCUAGAGGAAGAGGAGAGAGGCAGAAUGUUGUCUAGAGGAAGAGGAGAGAGGAAGAAUGUUGUCUAGAGGGAGAGGAGAGAGGCAGAAUGUUGUCUAGAGGGAGAGGAGAGAGGCAUAAUGUUGUCU